AUUGAACGCUGGCGGCAUGCUUUACACAUGCAAGUCGAACGGUAACAGGCCGCAAGGUGCUGACGAGUGGCGAACGGGUGAGUAAUGCAUCGGAACGUGCCCAGUCGUGGGGGAUAACGCAGCGAAAGCAGCGCUAAUACCGCAUACGAGCUAUGGAUGAAAGCGGGGGACCGUAAGGCCUCGCGCGAUUGGAGCGGCCGAUGUCAGAUUAGGUAGUGGGUGGGGUAAAGGCUCACCAAGCCAACGAUCUGUAGCUGGUCUGAGAGGACGACCAGCCACACUGGGACUGAGACACGGCCCAGACUCCUACGGGAGGCAGCAGUGGGGAAUUUUGGACAAUGGGCGCAAGCCUGAUCCAGCAAUGCCGCGUGCAGGAAGAAGGCCUUCGGGUUGUAAACUGCUUUUGUACGGAACGAAACGGUCCUGGUUAAUACCCGGGGCUAAUGACGGUACCGUAAGAAUAAGCACCGGCUAACUACGUGCCAGCAGCCGCCGUAAGAC
rnacentral:rRNA from 1 species